GAUGAAGAACGCAGCGAAAUGCGAUAAGUAGUGUGAAUUGCAGAAUUCAGUGAAUCAUCGAAUCUUUGAACGCACAUUGCGCCCCCUGGUAUUCCGGGGGGCAUGCCUGUCCGAGCGUCAUUGCUGCCCUCAAGCACGGCUUGUGUGUUGGGCCCCGUCCUCCGAUCCCGGGGGACGGGCCCGAAAGGCAGCGGCGGCACCGCGUCCGGUCCUCGAGCGUAUGGGGCUUUGUCACCCGCUCUGUAGGCCCGGCCGGCGCUUGCCGAUCAACCCAAAUUUUUAUCCAGGUUGACCUCGGAUCAGGUAGGGAUACCCGCUGAACUUAAGCAUAUCAAUAAGCGAGGA
rnacentral:misc_RNA from 1 species